rnacentral:rRNA from 1 species
UACGAAGGGGGCUAGCGUUGCUCGGAAUCACUGGGCGUAAAGGGCGCGUAGGCGGCUGAUUUAGUCGAGGGUGAAAGCCCGUGGCUCAACCACGGAAUGGCCUUCGAUACUGGUUGGCUUGAAACCGGAAGAGGACAGCGGAACUGCGAGUGUAGAGGUGAAAUUCGUAGAUAUUCGCAAGAACACCAGUGGCGAAGGCGGCUGUCUGGUCCGGUUCCGACGCUGAGGCGCGAAAGCGUGGGGAGCAAACAGG